CGUCUUUCUUGUGGAAGGAGAUUUUUAUGUCCGCGCGGCCGUAGUCCAGCUCUCUGAAGGUCAGAGCUGCCACAUCGCUCCAGUACUUGAAGGCAGAACGAAUGGCUGCCUUGACGUCUGCCUGCUUCAUGUCAGGGUCUGCCAGGCCACAGCGAGGCUGUCGCAUCACGUCCAGCGUGGCUUCAUCUAAUUCUCCAGUAGGUGGCAGGUCAUUCACCUUCUGAAACACCCUGCAGAGCGACCAGGAGUCAGUAGUAACAUUUCAACCACUUCUGUGGAGGUCUAGUGUGUACUGUGACUUUCUGUGUGUGUUGUGAGUUCCCUGGUCCUGACCUGAGAGCACUAAUGACCUCUUCCAGGUAGUGAGGGUCCUGUUGGACAGCGCUGUUGUCAAGGAUGAAUUUUCGUACCUCAGCUUCUAUCAGCUCUGUCCACUGCACCACCGCUGCACUGAAGGCUCCCUUGAGGUUGAGCACCAGCAGCAGUACCAGCAGCUCUGCACAGUCCAUGAGAUCCACCUACUGUAUCCACUGGGUAUUUGUGUGUUUAAACCACAGCGGGUUUAUCUCCACGCCCUUCAUCUUCAAAUUCCGGAUAUCCCACAGUUGUGUUGCUUUGAUUGCAAAAACAUCUGUUAUAGUCUAAC